rnacentral:miRNA from 1 species
ACGCUACCUCUAUACUAAGUAGUC